rnacentral:lncRNA from 1 species
CUCCGCUCCCUGUGCCGGCUGCUGUCGGCAGGGUAAUUCCCCCGGAGCGGCUCCAGGAGAGCUGGGCACGGGAUCCGGCCCCAAGGCUGUAGUUUACUGCUGGGUAUGUGGGUAUAACUGUGGGAGAAACGCUGUUGAAUUGUCUGAAAGCGUUUUUUCCUUUGCUGGAAUUUAAAUGUUCUCAGCAACGUCUAAGGGCGAAGAGUCAGACUACAAAGCGACAAGAUGGACUAUGUUUGGAAAUGAAAAAGAAUGAGCGUGACUGAUGAGAGUGGGGUGCCCGUCCCCCUGCUGACUGUCACUCCUCCAAAGAGGCACGAAAGACCGAGUAUCAAAGAACAACGCAUCUUGCAAGUCGCCUGUGACCGUGCCAGUCAUGAACUGUGGUUGAAACGAGCCAUGCUACACGUCCCUGCACAAAAGCCGAAUCUUAUCCACUUGAUACUGGUGCACGGGAGCAAGCCUGGGAAGUGGGACUUUAUUCACUGUCUUCGGGAUGAUGACUUCAGCAAUGAAGAAUAUGAAAUAAAUCAGCGGAAUGAACAAUAUAGUGACAACUUGUCAGGUUUAUACUAGCAACUUUCUACUCUUUGGAAAUAUCUAAAUAGGACUGGACGUUUAUAUGAAAUAUGGACAGAUGUGUGGUUCCAUUAGACAGGGUAAAUGCAUACAGGAUAUAAACUCUCUUCCUUUCUGUCAGUGCAUCCCACCGCCCGAGGUUAAAAACAGCCUUACUGAAUAAUUUCCCGUUAUGAGGUUUGGAAUAUGGGCCUCUCUUGGAGACAAGAUGCUGGGUGAGACGGAUGAUUAGUUAGAUCUG